GACGAACGCUGGCGGCGUGCCUAAUACAUGCAAGUUGAGCGCUGAAGGUUGGUCCUUGUACCAACUGGCUGAGCAGCGAACGGGUGAGUAACGCGUGGGGAAUCCGCCUUUGAGCGGGGGACAACAUUUGGAAACGAAUGCUAAUACCGCAUAAAAACUUUAAACACAAGUUUUAAGUUUGAAAGAUGCAAUUGCAUCACUCAAAGAUGAUCCCGCGUUGUAUUAGCUAGUUGGUGAGGUAAAGGCUCACCAAGGCGAUGAUACAUAGCCGACCUGAGAGGGUGAUCGGCCACAUUGGGACUGAGACACGGCCCAAACUCCUACGGGAGGCAGCAGUAGGGAAUCGUCGGCAAUGGACGAAAGUCUGACCGAGCAACGCCGCGUGAGUGAAGAAGGUUUUCGGAUCGUAAAACUCUGUUGGUAGAGAAGAACGUUGGUGAGAGUGGAAAGCUCAUCAAGUGACGGUAACUACCCAGAAAGGGACGGCUAACUACGUG
rnacentral:rRNA from 1 species